AGGCCCAAAAAGUAAUAUUCCUUUGCAUGGCCGCAGCAAAUUUCCGCGAGAAAACAGCUCCGGUCUCCUCAUAGGAAGAAUGACAAGUUCAUUCAAUGCCUUCUUUACAUCUUCAAGAGCACCUAUAUCAUCAAACUUGACACCAAUUUCACCAGGAGGUACCACAGCUGAAACAAAGUUACUCUCAUACUCAUCCUUUGCAAGGUUCUUCAAAUUUAAUGAUGGCUUUUGAGAUGUGGUUUCUUGCUCCUUCAACCUCAUAAUUGCAAUUUCAAGGCUUUCACUAGGCAAAAUCAAUCUCUCUCCUUUUAUGGAUGGAAGCAGGCAAGAUGACAAGUAAUGAUUCUUAGCCCAACCAACAACUUUUUCAGCUUUUUGCUUUGUCAAAACUACACCAUCAGUAUUUACAUGCAAUAGGUCCAGGCAAGACAUUUCGUUUUCUUCAAGAACCUUGUACAGUUCAUUUAAAUUGCUUCUAGAUAUUACAAUUCUCCUGUCCUCUUCAAUCUGUUUAUUGAACGUUCUGAGAAGAUCUUCCUCCUUUGGAGCAUGUAUGGACAGAACAUUAGUGAAGAGCUUAUAUAUUUCAUUGUCAUUGGACCUCUUUGUCACCCUGAGUCCCUCAGUAAGUUGCUUCAAAGAGAGAGGCAGCUUAGCUAGACGACCGAAAUUUGGGAGUAUCAUUGUAAAAUUCUCUUUCUCCUUUGACCCCGUUUCAACUUUGUUCUGGCCACAUAUCAAUACAACUGGACCUGAUAUUUUGUCAAACAUUUCUCGAACCUUCUGGACAAAAUCCUUGUGAUUUGACUUGGGAACUGCCCUAGACAACCAUAGAGAUGAAUCUUGAAAAUACACAAUAAGGGGUUGCAUGGAAUGCACAACCUCACAUAAAGCCUCCAUCGCAAUGUAGCAAUCUUCUGCCUCUGUGUCAGGAUCAUGCUCAAUGUCCUUAACAUCUAUCCAAUAAACUGGUGCUUUUGCAGGCCCCUCUUUAAGAUUCUCAUCCCUUUCUACAUUUGCAAUGCUAUCACUAGCAAUAUCCAAAAUAACAGCAACUCGAUCUCCAUUCACCUCAUAAACCUCCCCACGCUGACCACUUGACAAAGGCCUGCCACGCAUAGUAGUAUAGGCAUUUUUCAGACCAUCAGAUGUCAGUAUCUUGCCCAAUAUGAUCCUGUCAUUAGCUUCAAUGCAUACAGAAGGCCCUAUAUACUUCACACUAUCACCUUUCUUAAGUGGCCGUUUGCAGGUAUCAGAAGGCUCAGCAGCCUCAGACCUAGAGCUUUCCAGGGAACUAUCUGAUUCUCCAGAGACUCUCUUCUCAAAUUCUUCAAGAUUGUAAGGAAUGAGCUUCUUAAGAGCUGCUUCAGCAGUUGCCUGCACAUCAACUACAUCAUCAUCACUGCAGUCUGAUUUUGCCUCAGCACUGCUUGUCCACUCCUCUUCGUUAACUGUGUCAUUCUCAUCCUCUACCUCUGACUCUGAGGUACACUCCUCUGCAGAUCCUGUAUUAUCAUCUGAUUCACACUCUGAAGAGCAAUCAUCACCAAAAUCCUACAACAAAAUCAAUAGAAUAUUGACCAAAAUCCGAAAAUAAAUUCAAAUAUUAGAAAUGCAGAAAAUAUUACAAAAUAUCAAAAUUCCUAAAUUAUCCUAAUCUUACAAAAGGAGUAAGGACACCGCUAUCAAGUAUGAUUAAGGGAACUUGCAGAUCUCGUGCAAGUGCUCUAACUAUUCUCUCCCGAUAAAGCUCAGUACCUGGAAUGCUUUGAAGCAAUAUUCUCCCACUUGAAGACAUCAAACGAGCCCCAUAGGAAGCAGUGAAUUUCUUAUGUUUCAAAUGGGAAGCAACACAUUCCACCAAAACACUCUUGAUAUUCUCAUUAAUGUAGUACGGAAAAGUCUCCCAAGAAACAUGUAUUCUCUCCCAUGGAAUAACCCUCCGCAAAAUUUCAUUUUUAAACCUUUCACGUCUAGUCAAAAAAGGAGAUUCCUUCUUUUUACUUUCUAUGGCAAGCUUCUCAUUGUGAAGCCAUUCCUUUUGAUCCUGUUCUGCAAGCUGAGCAUGUGCAUUGGAGUGAACUGCUUCUUCUUUAGCCAUUUCCUGCUGAGUCUUGCCAUUAUCAAAGUUGACUCCAUCUUUUCCAGAUGCCUGUUUAUCCUCACUGGUAUUCCUCCCAUCACCUUCUGAACUAUAGAAGCGUAAUUGACUAUUACUCAAAUAUGUAAUACCCCUCACACAUGAACAAGAAAAAUUAAAUCCCCGGGCAACCCCCUGUGAUGAAAAUGAAUCUAAUAGGUAUCUCUUGAUAAAAGCAACAUUUGAAGAGUGGCCUCCCACUUUAGUUGUAUGGCUAAAAGAUCGAGAACAAGCAUAUUCCUGGCGGUUUGGCCUAGAAUAAUGUUUGGGUGGCAGAAAGACAGAACCCCAUCUCUGAUGUCUUCCCUUUAUUAUACUUGUAUACAUUGCAGCUUCUCACUUCUAGUUCAAAUGGCGGAGCUGAUGCUGAUGCUGCGGCUGUCACCUGUGCACUUGAAAUCGAUGUUGAAAUGCAUAUAAGUAGAAAAGUCGAAGCUUUCUAGUUAGAACUGAGGGUAGUGUUUGUUGAAGAAUAAGAGAGCGAGAGAGAGAGAGAGAUUAGGGUUGCGAUUUCAGUGAUAGAGAAAGGAUGGCAAGAUGAGGGAGAAAAAAU
rnacentral:misc_RNA from 1 species